GACAGCAGCAGCCGCGGUAAUACGUAGGGCGCAAGCGUUAUCCGGAAUUAUUGGGCGUAAAGAGCUCGUAGGCGGUUUGUCGCGUCUGCCGUGAAAGUCCGGGGCUCAACCCCGGAUCUGCGGUGGGUACGGGCAGACUAGAGUGAUGUAGGGGAGACUGGAAUUCCUGGUGUAGCGGUGAAAUGCGCAGAUAUCAGGAGGAACACCGAUGGCGAAGGCAGGUCUCUGGGCAUUAACUGACGCUGAGGAGCGAAAGCAUGGGGAGCGAACAGGAUUAGAUACCCCCGUAGUCCCUGUCUCUUAUAC
rnacentral:rRNA from 1 species